UACGUAGGGUCCGAGCGUUGUCCGGAAUCACUGGGCGUAAAGCGCACGUAGGCGGACUCUUAAGUCGGUGGUGAAAUCCUGGAGCUCAACUCCAGAACUGCCUUCGAUACUGGGAGUCUCGAGUCCGGGAGAGGUGAGUGGAACUGCGAGUGUAGAGGUGAAAUUCGUAGAUAUUCGCAAGAACACCAGUGGCGAAGGCGGCUCACUGGCCCGGUACUGACGCUGAGGUGCGAAAGCGUGGGGAGCAAACAGG
rnacentral:rRNA from 1 species